rnacentral:rRNA from 1 species
GGAAGGUGGGGAUGACGUCAAGUCAUCAUGGCCCUUACGGCCAGGGCUACACACGUGCUACAAUGGCGCGUACAGAGGGCUGCAAGCUAGCGAUAGUGAGCGAAUCCCAAAAAGCGCGUCGUAGUCCGGAUCGGAGUCUGCAACUCGACUCCGUGAAGUCGGAAUCGCUAGUAAUCGCGAAUCAGAAUGUCGCGGUGAAUACGUUCCCGGGCCUUGUACACACCGCCCGUCACACCAUGGGAGUGGGUUGCACCAGAAGUAGAUAGCUUAACCUUCGGGAGGGCGUUUACCACGGUGUGAUUCAUGACUGGGGUGAAGUCGUAACAAGGUAACCCUAGGGGAACCUGGGGUUGGAUCACCUCCUUACCUUAA